CCGUUUACAAGGUGUUUCUACAGCCGAGCUUAAACUUACGUAAAUACAAACUUCACAAGUCAAAACUAGACUUAUGCUUUUGAAUCCGAAGUAGAAGUUUUUAUUGCUCUUCUCUGCAUAUUUCAGGUGCAAGGACAGUCUAUAGUACAGUUUUCUUCUCGAUGUGGGACUUUCUCUUGAUCAACAACUUCCUCGAGGUGGGCUUCGUUUGAUGCUGGGCUCUUUUAUCUUUAACGGGCCGAUCUUUUCUUCCUUCCUUCCUUGUUGCUAAUUUCGAUGUGUUGGGCUUUUAAACAUGUUGG